rnacentral:lncRNA from 1 species
UUUUCCUACAGUCCACACGUCAACGUUGCUGGCUGUCGGAUGCCUGCAGCCAAGAUGAGACACUUUAGCUGUUUUCUAAGGACAGUUAUACUCAGCCAGCACUAGCAUGUGAUGAUUGCAGUGUUUGGCUUCUCAGUCCCCGUGGCUGAAUCACUUGCUCAGUUGUUGGAUGGAUAACACUAUUGACACCUUGACAGAUGCUUACGGGUGUCCCUUGACAAAGGCCACAGUCAGAUGAGAAAAGAACAAUUUUGUGCUAUGUAAAAGCUCCUGUAUUGUCCAAGAAUCAUGGUCAGCUGAUUCCACAGGAACCUUCUGUGAUGGCCUGCUGUGAGAGAAAGCAUACAGGUGUGAAUGUGGUUUACAUUGCAAAAUGGAGAAAAUUAAAAAAUGGAAAUGGGGAAACAGCCUGUGGAGCAGAUAGUCUUCCUGUGUCUGAGGUUCUUCAGACUGGAAUUAAACUCCUGGAUUGAAAAUGUAUGCCAGCUUUCUAAAGAGAUCCAGAACAGGGAAGAAGAGAAAACCAAGUUUAAGUGCUUGAUCCCAGCUGACUGGCAUCUAGCAAAUGUGAUGCCCAACCAGAAGGGUCAGAAGGAUGAUCUGGAGAACUACAGGCUGGUGAGUCUGACCUCAGUGCCUGGGAAGGUGAUGGAACAGAUCAUCCUGAGUGCCAUUAUGUGGUGCAUGAAGGAUGCCCAGAUGAUCAGGCCCAACCAGCACGAGUUCAUGAAAGGUAGGUUCUGCUUGACAAACCUGAUCUCCUAUGUCAAACUGACCCACUUGGUGGAUGAAGGAAAGGCUGUGGAUGAUGUUUACAUGGAUUUUAGUAAAAUCUUUGAUACAGUCUCCCACAGGAUCCUCUUGGAAAAACUGUCUUCCGAUGGCUUGGACGGGAGUACUUUCCACUGGGUUAAAAACUGGUUGGAGGGCCGGCCUGGAGAGUGGUGGGGAAUGGAGUUAAAUCCAGUUGGCAGCUGGUCAUGAAUGGUAUCCCACAGGGCUCGGUGUUGGUCGACUCCUUGGCUGAACAUGAGCCAGCGGUGUGCCCAGGUGGCCAAGAAGGCCAACAGCAUCCUGGCCUGUAUCAGGAACAGUGUGGUGAGUAGGAUCCGAGAGGUGAUCGUCCCCCUGUACUUGGCACUGGUGAGGCCCCACCUUGAGUACUGUGUCCAGUUUUGGGCCCCUUA